AUUGGCAAUCAUAGCGUUAUAGAACCACCUGAUUCCAUUUCGAACUCAGAAGUGAAAUAUAACUGCGCCGAUGGUAGUGUAAGGUUUCCUUAUGCGAGAGUAGGUCAUUGCCAACA
rnacentral:rRNA from 1 species